UACGUAGGGGGCAAGCGUUGUUCGGAUUUACUGGGCGUAAAGGGCGCGUAGGCGGCCAGCACAAGUCAGUUGUGAAAUCUCCGGGCUUAACUCGGAAAGGUCAACUGAUACUGUGCGGCUAGAGUGCAGAAGGGGCAACUGGAAUUCUCGGUGUAGCGGUGAAAUGCGUAGAUAUCGAGAGGAACACCUGCGGCGAAGGCGGGUUGCUGGGCUGACACUGACGCUGAUGCGCGAAAGCCAGGGGAGCGAACGGG
rnacentral:rRNA from 1 species